AACCUUCCCAAUGCACGAAAGUGUGAGGACGGGAACCCUGAGUGGCUUCGGUUUUCCGAAGUCUUUUCUCAAGUGUAAAUAGCUUGUGGAAUAAGCGGUGGGCAAGACGGUUGCCAGCCGCCGCGGUAAUAACCGCGCCGCAAGUGGUAGUCACGUUUAUUGGGCCUAAAGCAUCCGUAGCCGGUUUAGCAAGUCCCCUGUGAAAUCCUGCCGCUUAACGGUAGGGCUUGCGGAGGAUACUACUAGACUAGGAG
rnacentral:rRNA from 1 species